rnacentral:hammerhead_ribozyme from 1 species
ACCUUGCUGACGAGUGCCAAGUAACACGAAACCCGGGUCCAACGU